UACGUAGGGUGCAAGCGUUGUCCGGAAUUAUUGGGCGUAAAGAGCUCGUAGGCGGUUUGUCGCGUCGAAUGUGAAAACUCGGGGCUCAACCCCGAGCCUGCUUCCGAUACGGGCAGACUAGAGGUAUGCAGGGGAGAAUGGAAUUCCUGGUGUAGCGGUGAAAUGCGCAGAUAUCAGGAGGAACACCGGUGGCGAAGGCGGUUCUCUGGGCAUUACCUGACGCUGAGGAGCGAAAGUGUGGGGAGCGAACAGG
rnacentral:rRNA from 1 species